GACGGCUCUGCUCACGUCGGGCUUCACGCUCGACGAGCCGCACCACUUUGCCGAGCGCAUCCACGCCAUGAUCUCGCUCGGCUUGUCCAUCGACGCCGACGAGCCCGCCGCGGCCGCGCAGGAGGAGCAGGACGACCAGCCGCCCGCUCUCGAGGCCACCGGUGCGAGCAGCAUGGAAGAAGUCGACUAAGCUCCUCUCCGUCCCGCCCGCUUGUUCUCCCUCUCGCUAGUUCACUCGCAUAGUAUUCGUUCCAGCGUAGUCUCCCUUCACUUGUGUAGUUCUCUCCUCCACCGUCGCCGCAAAAUCGGUGCCC
rnacentral:misc_RNA from 1 species